rnacentral:rRNA from 1 species
UACGUAGGGUGCAAGCGUUGUCCGGGAAUUAUUGGGCGUAAAGGGGCUCGUAGGCGGUUUGUCGCGUCGGGAGUGAAAACUCAGGGCUUAACCCUGAGCCUGCUUCCGAUACGGGCAGACUAGAGGUAUGCAGGGGAGAAUGGAAUCCUGGUGUAGCGGUGAAAUGCGCAGAUAUCAGGAGGAACACCGGUGGCGAAGGCGGGUCUCUGGGCCGAUACUGACGCUGAGGAGCGAAAGCGUGGGGAGCAAACAGG